rnacentral:rRNA from 1 species
CCUACGGGUGGCAGCAGUGAGGAAUAUUGGUCAAUGGGCGGAAGCCUGAACCAGCCAAGUCGCGUGAGGGAAUACGGCCCUACGGGUCGUAAACCUCUUUUGCCGGGGAGCAACGGCCGGCACGUGUGCCGGCACGGAGAGUACCCGCAGAAAAAGCAUCGGCUAACUCCGUGCCAGCAGCCGCGGUAAUACGGAGGAUGCGAGCGUUAUCCGGAUUUAUUGGGGUUAAAGGGUGCGUAGGCGGCUUUUUAAGUCAGCGGUAAAAUGUCCGGGCUCAACCCCGGCCGGCCGUUGAAACUGGGGAUCUUGAGUGGGCGAGAAGUAUGCGGAAUGCGUGGUGUAGCGGUGAAAUGCAUAGAUAUCACGCAGAACUCCGAUUGCGAAGGCAGCAUACCGGCGCCCGACUGACGCUGAGGCACGAAAGCGCGGGGAUCGAACAGGAUUAGAUACCCGAGUAGUC